AUUGGAAUAGGAAAUAUACAAGAUGAGCUUGGAGCAUAUGGCUACUGACACUAUCUAUAUCGUAAGUAUUUAAUACCAAUAUUAAUUUCCAGGUAAAUGCACACUAGGUGCCUACCUUCAUAAGUAGGAACAGGACAUAACCCAGGAAUCUCUUCCUUAUGCUUGAUAGUAUCAUUUUCUUUUUGUUCUGGUAACAGUUGACUCCUAUCAUGUGACUAGCUGUUUCAUUUUUCUUUUGAUGAUACAAUAUCAGCCUGAAGCACUGGACUAAAGAGAGGUGGAGGAGGUGAGGGAUGAGCAGCCUAAUAGCAUGGCUGGACUAGGUACCC
rnacentral:lncRNA from 1 species